rnacentral:rRNA from 1 species
UACGUAGGGUGCGAGCGUUAAUCGGAAUUACUGGGCGUAAAGCGUGCGCAGGCGGUUUUGUAAGUCAGAUGUGAAAUCCCCGGGCUUAACCUGGGAACUGCGUUUGAAACUACAAGGCUAGAGUGUGGCAGAGGGGGGUGGAAUUCCACGUGUAGCAUUGAAAUGCGUAGAGAUGUGGAGGAACACCGAUGGCGAAGGCAGCCCCCUGGGUUAACACUGACGCUCAGGCACGAAAGCGUGGGGAGCAAACAGG